rnacentral:rRNA from 1 species
GAUGAACGCUGGCGGCGUGCCUAAUACAUGCAAGUCGAGCGAACAGACGAGGAGCUUGCUUCUCUGACGUUAGCGGCGGACGGGUGAGUAACACGUGGAUAACCUACCUAUAAGACUGGGAUAACUUCGGGAAACCGGAGCGAAUACCGGAUAAUAUAUUGAACCGCAUGGUUCAAUAGUGAAAGACGGUUUUGCUGUAACUUAUAGAUGGAUCCGCGCCGCAUUAGCUAGUUGGUAAGGUAACGGCUUACCAAGGCAACGAUGCGUAGCCGACCUGAGAGGGUGAUCGGCCACACUGGAACUGAGACACGGUCCAGACUCCUACGGGAGGCAGCAGUAGGGAAUCUUACGCAAUGGGCGAAAGCCUGACGGAGCAACGCCGCGUGAGUGAUGAAGGUCUUCGGAUCGUAAAACUCUGUUAUUAGGGAAGAACAAAUGUGUAAGUAACUAUGCACGUCUUGACGGUACCUAAUCAGAAAGCCACGGCUAACUACGUG